GCAAAAUCUUACAAUUUUAUGGCAAGUCUUUAGUUCUUACCAAACAAGAAUUGGCUAAAGAAAAGAUGUUAGCAGAACAAUCACUGAGUUAACUAGAAUUUUGACCAUCAUAUUAUCAAAAGCACACAAACUUGUGACUAGAAAUCAACUUCAAUUUGCGUAACCAAUUGAAAAAGGAAAUCAUCAACCAAUAAUUCAAGGAAAUGUCAUUUAUGUCAAAAAUGACCUGAGAUUGGCCAUAUCUUAUAGCAUUCAAGUCCUACUAUUAUUGUCCAUUUAGAUCAUCUGUUAGAAAAAUAACUUGAUUUUCUCUCUUUGACAGUUAUAGCACAAAACGCAAGAACAUUUACUUAGCAAAUAGCAAUUGCCAUUUCUAAGGAACCUCUUCCCCUUCCCUGGCCUUCUCUAACUCAAAAAGUAUCACUUGAAAUGCCAAGAAUUUUAACUGGCAACUCUUGGAUGAGAACAGUUAGCCUUCAAAACCAAAAGCAAACCAACAAUUCAGUAAAACUCAGACAACACUCAACCAUAGAAUAUAAAUGAAAUCAUACAGAAUAAAUUUCUUCCUACUACUGUGUCAGAUGCUUUACUUAUUUAUGUUGACUACAUGGUAAUCCCCUACAAGAAAUCUAUAGAAGAACUUGUUUUCAUUACCAGAAAAUAGUAAUAAUAAAAGAAAACCAAAAAUCAUAAACACCUCAAGUAAUAAUGUGCUCCAACUUUCCCAAAUCUCAUUCUGUUGGAUUGGAUAUGCAAGUAAAAAGUCUCACGCUUUCAGCAAACAUGGUUAAGGCAUUGUAUUAUCUAAAUUGAAUCUGGUAAUCAACUUCAUCCUCACUUCCAAAUUAAUGAUUCAAGCUUCAUAUGACAAUCAACUAAAGUAAUCUAGCACCAUCGAGCUACAUUUUUGUUAAGGAAACCAGCUCCUCCAUGACAUCUUCCUCUCCAACAAUACAGCCAAUCCAACCUAGCCAGUCUCAAUCCCCCACUCAUUAGUCAUUUGCAAUUUAUUAUCAGAUUGUAUAAACUCCAGCACACUGGCCCCACAAAAAAUGUCUCCAGAAAAAAAAUGACAACCCAAAAAAGCCUUGAGCCUCUUUAUUCCUUCCAUCACUAUUAACCUUCUAAACCCAAUUUAGCUAACCUGCUUCAGAUUGGGAUUCUCCUCUUUCCGUGAAAAUCACAAAUUUCCCAUUUUAACAUCCGCCCAAUAUCAUCCUUGUUCCCAUCUUUCCUGUUA
rnacentral:misc_RNA from 1 species